rnacentral:lncRNA from 1 species
GAUCUGCUUGUGUUGUUCAGGUCCAUGCACAAAUGUAUCUCGCCCUCCACUCCCUGAAAGCAAUGGGCGUCAUGACGAAUGCGGUAGUGGCAUGGGAAGCGAUGAAGACCAGGAGGAGGUAAGCUGGCAUGCUGACAUACAUAGUGAUUGAAUGACUUAUCGAAUGCUAUCCAUAGCCAGUCACCUGCAAUUCAGGGUUAUCAAUCCGGGUUGCUUAUUUUACAGAGACGAAGAUGAAUUGGACGUGUCUGAAGUGAGCAAUUCGCCCUCCUGCAGGAGGCUGAGGCAAUGGCACAGCUCGCACCACGAGAAGAAUGUUCCAGCAGCGGGGCUACAGUGAUGGUUGAUUGGCGGAGCAGUGGGUCUCACGAAGGCAGUCAAGAGGAAGAUUCUUCUGCCUUAAAUCCAGAGCACUUUCUCAACUUCAGUUUCAAGAACCUGGAGCUGCUCGGCGAGCGAAAUCUGGAAAUGGCAGAAUCUUCUUUUGAUGAAUUGCGAACAGAGUUUGCCAGUACAGAUCCUUAUGAUUAAAACUCUUGCUUGGCACUUUCUAGCACACUCUGCUCCCUGAGAUGAUUAGCAUAUUAUUACAAAUUCAUGCUUGAGGACAGAGGACGGGCAGGAGCCAGAUAGGAAAACCAAAAUUGCGUUUGUAGACAAGCUACCGUGCAAUAUCCG